rnacentral:rRNA from 1 species
ACUAUCUUAAUAUUUUUGUUCUGUGUGCAGUUGUCGUAUGUUUUCGAAAGGGAAUCCGGUUGAUAUUCCGGAACCGAGUAACGGAGACAAAGAGUAGCGCUUUAAUCUCUUUCGGGUUGGCGUUCAACUCAAUCGCGCGGUAACGCAAGCGAACUCGGAAAAUGACCGUCGUGAGUUUCGAAAAGAGUUUUCUUUUCUUUUUAAGGGACGCAUUCCCUGGAACCGGGUUGUCCGGAGAUAGGGAUUCUGGUAUCCAUAAAACGCCGACUCUUUCACGGUGUUCGGAGCGCUCUCGUCGGUACGUGAAAAUCCGAGCGACGCCUGGUAAAUCUCGUACUUGGUCGUACUGAUAUCCGCAGCAGGUCUCCAAGGUGAAUAGCCUCUGGCCGAUAGAAUAAUGUAGGUAAGGGAAGUCGGCAAAACGGAUCCGUAACUUCGGAACAAGGAUUGGCUCUAAGGGCUGGGCCGAUCGGGCUGAGGUUUCAAGCGUGCAGUGUAUGCUUGGCUGAGUUGUGUUGAGGAUUGAUUCGCUUGGUGCCGUUUGUUGAACCAAUCGGCUUGCCAGGUGGUCAUGUCUGAAGCAAAGCUGGCCGACAGACCGGCACGUGCAGAACCUGAGCUGCGCGGCUGUCAGUUCAUUUGUACAGACCGUUUCGGUCGGCAUUCAACAGCCAACUUAGAACUGGCACGGACACAAGGAAUCUGACUGUAUAAUUAAAACAAAGCAUUGCGAUGGCCGAUGAUCGGUGUUGACGCAAUGUGAUUUCUGCCCAGUGCUCUGAAUGUCAGAAGACCCGCCCGCCCCCCGCACAGAAGAUGAUGACCCAGCGUUUGGAAGAAAGAAGACCAGCCCGGCCUCGGCCUAGAAGAAGAUGACCUAGCGCUUGGAAGACCGAAAUACAGAAAACAGAAGAAAGAAGCGCCCCCCCCGAAGACGCCCCUACUUGUUGUCCAGUCCCAUGGUCGUCGCCAGCCCCCCCUUUCGUAUUGUUACUUAUUUAUUGCUGUUGCUGUUGUUAUUGCUAUUACUGUCAUGUAAUGCCCUCGCUGAGCCCGCCCCCACUCUCCCCCUCCGGUACCCGCGACUAGCCAUGCUCUGACUCUUGGCGGGACGCUAGGUAGCGAUGGGAUGCAGGGGAAUCUCAAGUGAAGCUCAUACUUGAAUUAGAUUGACGCAGUAAGCGUUCUUCUUCGGGAGAGCCUUACAAACAGUCCAAAUAGCCAAAUGCCUCGUCAUCUAAUUAGUGACGCGUAUGAAUGGAUCAACAAGAUUCCUUCUGUCCCUAUCUACUAUCUAGCGAAACCACAGCCAAGGGAACGGGCUUGGCAAAAUCAGCGGGGAAAGAAGACCCUGUUGAGCUUGACUCUAGUCUGACUCUGUGAAGAGACAUGAAAGGUGUAGCAUAGGUGGGAGGCUGCAGUAGGGCGCUGUUCGGUGUCUCUGUGGUCGCCAAUGAAAUACCACUACUUUGAUCGUUUCUUUACUUAUUCGGUAAAGCGAAAAAAUUGUGGCCAAUUUGGCGGUCUGUCCGCUGUUGGUCAUUGUUUUAAUGUUGGAUUGAAGCUUUGUUUAUAGCCGUCGCUUUGUGUCGCCGUUUGACGCAUUGGCUGGGUGCGUAUUUGUGCGCGCGCGGUAAUGUUGUCAGCGGAUGAUCGGCGAUUGGUUUGAAGUGAUUCGCUCCGGAAACAGUGUCAGACGGGGAGUUUGACUGGGGCGGUACAUCUGUUAAACGAUAACGCAGGUGUCCUAAGGUAAGCUCAGCGAGGACAGAAACCUCGCCUAGAGUAAACGGGCACAAGCUUACUUGAUUUUGAUUUCCAGUACGAAUAAAAACCGCGAAAGCGUGGCCUAUCGAUCCUUUUGAUUGUGUAGAUUUCACGCAAGAGGUGUCAGAAAAGUUACCACAGGGAUAACUGGCUUGUGGCAGCCAAGCGUCCAUAGCGACGUUGCUUUUUGAUCCUUCGAUGUCGGCUCUUCCUAUCAUUGCGAAGCAGAAUUCGCCAAGCGUUGGAUUGUUCACCCACCAAUAGGGAACGUGAGCUGGGUUUAGACCGUCGUGAGACAGGUUAGUUUUACCCUACUGAUGACAAGUCGUUGCGAUAGUAAUCCUGCUCAGUACGAGAGGAACCGCGGGAUCAGACAUUUGGUUCAUGCGCUCGGCUGAAAGGCCGGUGGCGCGAAGCUAGCAUCUGCAAGAUUAUGACUGAACGCCUCUAAGUCAGAAUCUUUUCUAGUCAUUGGCAACGAUAAGUUGCGUCCGGACUCGAUGCGAGGAAACGAUUAGGCUUUGCUGUGUUUUGCGCAGCGAAGCCGUUAUCAUACCACGGUAGCAGGCAGUUGGGAUGGUUACGAAAAAGCAAUUUUUUGAAGUCAGUUGAAUUCAAUCAAACUGCUAACAAUCCCACUGCGAAUGACUACACUCGAAUCU